GUAGAAAUCUUCUGUAGCAUUAUAAAUAUAUUUGUUGUCACUUUUGAUGCAUUCUUGCUAAAGGAAAGGAUAAGGAUUAAUUUCUUUAACAACAAAAGAAAACCUUACUGACCCCAGACUUUUGAACAGUAUGUGUGUCAAACUCUGUCUGCUUAUUGGAGCAGUCUGUCAAAUUGAGGCUCAACCAAUUCUUUAAGGUUUGGAUGACAGCACUGUAUCUGUUUGUCCAAUCAUGACAGACGAGGCAGGCCAGAAUGGACUCCAAGAGGAUCUGAGACCCUGUCAGACCUUCUAAACACUUUGAGGUUUUCUGGCUGAAGAGAGGUGAAAUGUUUUAUUUUAUAUUUGUGGGACAAAGGUCCAUUCACUUGGAGUUCUGCUAAAAUUACCCUCUUAGCGUCCAGCAGCCCCUCAUUAUCUCUCCAUCUAUCCUCCAUUCAUCCAUCCCCCUCCACUUUCGCCAUUCUAUUCACCUCUGCUGUCCUCAAAUCCAUCUAAUUCUCUCCAUUUAUUCUUUCUUAGUUCUACCCUUCUUUCCAUUAUUCCUCCAUCCUCUUCUCAUUCUGCCCUGUUCAUUGUCCCACCACCUGUAAUGUCCUUUUCCCGCUCUUGUACGCCAUCAUUCCCAAUCUCGGUGACCUCCUCUUUCCCUUUCUCCUCUCAUCCUCAUCCACUCUUCAUCCCUGCCUGUGCAGCCCACUCCAAAUUGGAGAGGGCUGGUUUCCUCUUAUUAAAAUCUUUAAUCAGACUCCUAAUUAGCCUAACCAGAGCCUUGUAAAUCAUUUCCGCCUCUUGCCUCUCCUACAGACCCAGACCAAGAUCCUUUUUAAAAACGUUCGGCCUGCUGUAAUGCAGCUAAAUGAAAGCGAACUGCUGCAGAGGGAUGGAUAUGAUGGAGAAAGUGGAAGACAUGGGAAGGUGCACUCAUUCAUUGUUCUGGGCCUACUUGCUGCUGUGGGUCUGACCCAGGAGUCAUCAUGGAUUAAAAGCACUGGGAAACGUGCCACAGGUCCGUCACUCAACACAUUCGGAUCCAAACGAGUAAAACGGGAUUUUGACAGAUCUUCUCUUUUAACACUGAUCUCAGAGCAGUACUCCAGAAUAUCUUAUUACGAUGGGAAUUUGAAUGUAGAUGAGACUGACUGCUCUCAAACCAGCAUUUAUAGGAGACUAAGCAUGAAAGGGCACCGGCGGGAUGAUGAUGAACUGACGGAGCGCAUGAAAGAGCUGAACCUCACUGUUUGUCCUGAAAUGGCUCCAACAUAUAAAAGGCCCUGCAGUAAAGGUGUGUAUAUGUGUGUGUGCGCUUCACUGUCUACAGCCCCAUACGGAAAGUAAAUCAGGGGCCUAUUGUACCAUAAAUGUCACUCGCCCUGCCUCUCGUCUCCUGUCACUGGCAGAGCGUUUUGCGGGUUAUGAGACUGGAUGGACACCAAUACUCUGCCUUAAAGGUGUCCAGAAGAUGCUGGAAUAGACUCGUGCACAAGAUGAACUGUGCAUUUUGGUCUCUGUAUGUUUUAUAAGACAGCAUCCAUAAGGAAAGGCAAUUAAGCUAAAUGGUAAAUGUCAGUUAUUUCUGUAUAUUGUCUCUGGCACUGAAGAGACGUCCAACAUAUUGGAA
ensembl:lncRNA